UGCCUGCAGGAACUGUAACCCAGGGGGUGUGUGCAAGUCUGGAGGCAAGGUGCAUCAUUUGGAUAUCAUUGUGACACCACCAACUUUCCAAAGUCCCUCCUCCAACCAAGAACAUCUGAAAUACAGGAGGCAGAAAAAUCUAACCAUAUGUCUUGGCAGUUUUUUCUGCCAUGGUGGGCAGUCACUCCAGCCAGACCCUGAGAGACAGCAGCCAGAAGGGAUCCCUGGCUUCUUGCACAUGAGGCACGAAGGCAUCAAACUUAUCAUUAGGGAGUAGCUGAGCUUCAUCAUGGAGUUGUUUGUCCCUCUCAUUGACUUUACUCAGAGCCUCCUACUCCCACAAAACCACAGAAGAUAUGAAGAUGUCUUGACAUCCCAGUUUAAAGACCACUGACUUAACAAGUGUAUUGGUCAGAUUGGAGCCAACAACUGUGACUUCACAUCAGAGGCAUUUGCAGGGUGGCAGCUAAGGAGCUACCACAGGAGAUUAAGAACUUUGACAGAGAGGCUGGGCAGUCCCUGUCCAUGCUGGCCAUGCUUUCCUGGCCCACCUUUGAGAAGCAGCAGAGAUCUGGAAUCACUGAUCUGAGGAGGGAAGGUGUCUGUGCUGAUAACAGGAAGGGAUGAGACUGGCAGAAGAGCACUUCUCCUCCAGCGUGUUCAGACAGCCAUCCAUCAGUCUGAGCAAUCUCAGAGCCUGCACUAACUUUUAAGUUACAAACAUUCACAGACAUUUGGGGUUUUACACGGGAUUUUGCAUAGUCUCUUCCAGCACUGCCGAGCCGGAUGUGAUUCUAAUGUCACAGUGUUUGCUGUAGCAGUCAUUUUGCUACCAUCUGUUAGAGGUCAACACUAGUACGGGUUCUUUAUUUUUUUAGGCCACUUAAGUCAGUAAAGGCUUAAGCUGGCUACUGAUUCCAGUGCACUUUGACUCCUGCCAUCAGGCUGAAAGUUUGGAUGUACAGAAUCACGGAGACCAUUCAGCUACAGAAGAUGGGUAAUAUGCUCCCAUGAGUAACAACUGCCUAAGGUGUUACAGGAGUUUCAGUCCUGUCCCCAGAUUCCUGCAAGCUGUCUGUAAAGAUAGCCAUGCUGGAACAGUCUUCCUUGGGAAAGUGUACAUCAAGGUGGAAGUGUGUUGUUCCCCACAUCCAUGAUGAAUAGGCUGAAUACAGCAGAAAUUAAUUACAGCAAAAGAUUUAAUCUAGAUAUUAAAAUCUGUUCUUAUGUUAAAAAUGCAGAAGUAUUGUAAAAACUUCAUAAAUUAAAGUCUGCAGAAUGAGUUACAUGACAUACAGCUGUGGGGAAUAUCUUAAGGCAGAGCCUGGGCUGUAUCUGAGGUUCCUUUUGUUUUUCAUGGAGUAACAGUAUCUGAAUGAAUUUGUGUUCAUCAAGAAUGGAUAAACACAUUGACUACUCACCAUCAGAUGUAUGGCCGACAAAGCCUAAUGUGUAUUAAAUCCAGAGAAUUUAAAGGAUUUCCAAUUUAAUCCAAGAAUCUUUAGCAAGCAAUUGCAUCUGUCUGGAAACAUAUCUACAAAAGAGAGUUCAUGAGAGAAAAAUGUUGCAGAUGCAGGAAAGCAGACUACUGAAGAGAUCAGAUAAUGUCAGACAUAGAAAAUGUAUUUUCUAGUGAGGUAAGUUGCAGGUAAAUGCACAAGCUUGCAAAGAAAAAAGGCGUGACAAUCACAGAUUCAUAGAGACACUUAGGUUGGAAAAGAACUUCAAGAUUGUCGAGUCUAAACUUUGACCUGGCACUGCUUGUCAACUAAGUCAUAACACUAAGUGCCACAUCCUGUCAUUUCUUAAACACCUCCAGUGAUGGAGACUCCAUGACUUCUCUGGGGAACCCUGAUAUCAUUUGAAUUUGUCUUCAGCUGCCUUUGUUCUAGCUUGUUUAGCUGGAUCAGACAUUAUCUGAUUACCAGGUAGCUAUUGCACAUUCUGUCCAUUUUUUUGCUAAACCUCUGUUUAAUCUCUGCUAGAUUUUCAUAAUUGUUUAAGCUUAUGUAUAGAGUUUGUGUGGCCAUGUUUUGGUAGAAGGGGUACUAUAGGGGUGGCUUCUGUGAGAAACUGGUAGUAUUUCCCCAUGUCCAGUGGAGUUAAUGCCACCUGGCUCCAACAUGGACUUGCCACAGCUGGAUAAGGCUGAGCCCAUCAGUGAUGGUGGUGGCACCUCUGGGAUAACAGAUUUAACAAAGGGGGGAAACUGUACAAGGGCAACUGCAGCUAGAAAAAGGAGAGAGAGUAUGUGAGAGCAACACUCCAGGGUCAGGCACCCAGGUCAGAAAAGCAAGAGCAGGAGAAGAUGCUCCAGGCAGAAAGGCAAAGAUUCCCUUGCAGCCCAUGGUGAAGACCAUGGUGGACCAGAUGUCCCCCUGCAGCUGAUGGAGGUUCAUGGUGGGGCACAGGUCCACCUGCAGCCCAAGGAGAAGAUGCACACUGGAACAGUUUAUGAAGAACUGCAGCCUGUAAGAAGGUCCCACAUUCGAGAAUUUUGUGGAGGACUGUCUCCCGUAGGAGGGGACUCAGAUUGGAGCAGGGGAAGUGUGAGAAGUCCUUCCCCUGAGAAAGAAGGAGAAGCAGACACAAUGCGUGGUGAACUGACCACAGUUCCCAUUAGCUGACCAUCUGAGGUGCUUGACAGAAGGAAGUUGAGAAAUCAAGAAGCAAAGUUGAACCCAAA